rnacentral:rRNA from 12 species
ACGCCCGAAUCCUUUCGAACCCGAGCGCCCUCAGCGAUGCCGCCUCAC